GGGCAAAUCCGCACCUCACGUGCCUGAGAUCUGACACGGACGCAUUAGCGGAAGUCGGUAAUCCUAUGCUGCCAAGAAAAUCUUCUAGCGAGGUUCGAGCCGCCCGUACCCCAAACCGACUCAGGUGGUUAGGUAGAGAAUACCAAGGCGAUCGAGUGAAUCGUGGUUAAGGAAUUCGGCAAAAUACCCCCGUAACUUCGGGAGAAGGGGGGCCCAGAGGGUGAUGGAGACUUGCUCUCCUGAGCCCGAACGGCCGCAGAGACCAGGGAGAAGCGACUGUUUACUAAAAACACAGGUCCGUGCCAAGUCGCAAGACGAUGUAUACGGACUGACGCCUGCCCGGUGCUGGAACGUUAAGGGGACCGGUUAGCCUCACGGCGAAGCUGAGAACUUAAGCGCCAGUAAACGGCGGUGGUAACUAUAACCAUCCUAAGGUAGCGAAAUUCCUUGUCGGGUAAGUUCCGACCUGCACGAAUGGCGUAACGACUUCUCCACUGUCUCAACCACGAACUCGGCGAAAUUGCACUACGAGUAAAGAUGCUCGUUACGCGCAGAAGGACGGAAAGACCCCGGGACCUUUACUACAGCUUGGUAUUGGUGUUCGGAACGGCUUGUGUAGGAUAGGUGGGAGGCUUUGAAGCUGAUACGCCAGUAUCGGUGGAGCCAACGUUGAAAUACCACUCUGGUCGUUCUGGAUGUCUAACUUAGGUCCGUAAUCCGGAUCAGGGACAGUGCCUGGUGGGUAGUUUAACUGGGGCGGUUGCCUCCUAAAAGGUAACGGAGGCGCCCAAAGGUUCCCUCAGCCUGGUUGGCAAUCAGGUUUUGAGUGUAAGCGCACAAGGGAGCUUGACUGUGAGAGUGACAACUCGAACAGGGACGAAAGUCGGGACUAGUGAUCCGGCGGUGGCUUGUGGAAGCGCCGUCGCUCAACGGAUAAAAGGUACCCCGGGGAUAACAGGCUGAUCUUGCCCAAGAGUCCAUAUCGACGGCAUGGUUUGGCACCUCGAUGUCGGCUCGUCGCAUCCUGGGGCUGGAGUAGGUCCCAAGGGUUGGGCUGUUCGCCCAUUAAAGCGGUACGCGAGCUGGGUUUAGAACGUCGUGAGACAGUUCGGUCCCUAUCCUCUGCGCGCGCAGGAAACUUGAGAAGGGCUGUCCCUAGUACGAGAGGACCGGGAUGGACGAACCUCUGGUGUGUCAGUUGUUCUGCCAAGAGCACCGCUGAUUAGCUACGUUCGGAAGUGAUAACCGCUGAAAGCAUCUAAGCGGGAAGCAUGCUUCAAGAUGAGGUUUCCAUGGGGUUUACCCCGAGAGGCUCCCAGCUAGACUACUGGGUUGAUAGGCCGGAUGUGGAAGUGCGGUAACGCAUGGAGCUGACCGGUACUAAUAAGCCGAUAACUUGACC
rnacentral:rRNA from 1 species